rnacentral:rRNA from 1 species
GACGAACGCUGGCGGCGUGCUUAACACAUGCAAGUCGAACGGAAAGGCCCUGCUGUUGUGGUGUGCUCGAGUGGCGAACGUGUGAGUAACACGUGGGUAACCUGCCCUUGACUUUGGGAUAACUUCCGGAAACUGGGGCGCAUACCGCAUAGGAUCUCCCGCUGCAUGUCGGUUGUUGGAAAGUUUUGGCGGUUGGGGAUGGGAUCGCGGUUUAUCAGCUUGUUGGUGGGGUAGUGGCUUACCAAGGCUUUGACGGGUAGCCGGGCUGGGAGGGGUACCGGCACCAUUAGGACUGAGAUGCGGCACAGACUCCUCCGGGAGGCGACAGUGCGGAAGGUUACACAGUGGGCGGAAGCCUGAUGCAGUGACGCCGCGUGCGGGAUGACGGCCUUCGGUUUGUAAACCGCUUUCGCCUGAGACGAAGCGAGGGUGACGGUAAUGGGUAAAGAAGCCCCGGCUAACUACGUG